AAUCAGGUGAUUCUAGUUUCCCAGUCUAGGAAUAGAACAACUUCUCCGUUGUUCCAAUCAAAACAGGAUGAAUAACUUAAAAAAAAAGCUUGAUUUGGAUAGAUUAAGUGGUGGAGAAUCAGCAGGAAGUUGAAAAAAUCUCAUAGGAGUUGGGAUGAAGAAGUUAUCCCACUUUCAAACCAGGUGAUUCCAGCUUUCCAGUUUGGGAAUAGGAAAGCUUCUUCGUCGUUCCAAUCAAACCAGGAUGAAUCACUUUAUAAGAAGCUUUAUUUGGAUAGAUAAAGUGGUGGAAAAUCACCAGAAAGUUGAAAAAAUAUCAUAGGAGUUGGUGUGAAGAAGUUAUCCCACUUUCAAAUCUGGUGAUUCCAGUUUCCCAAUUUGGGAAUAUGACAGCUUCUUCGUCGUUCCAAUCAAAACGGGAUGAGUCACUUUGUAAGAAGCUUUAUAUGGAUAGACAAAGUGGUGGGAUUCACCAGGAAGUUGAAUAAAUUUCAUAGGAGUUGGGAUGAAGAAGUUAUCCCACUUUCAAAUCAGGUGAUUCCAAUUUCCCAAUUUGGGAAUAGGACAGCUUCUUCGUCGUUCCAAUC